rfam:Schistosoma haematobium scaffold1315_18, whole genome shotgun sequence.
AUCUAGCUGACGAGUCCCAAAUAGAACGAAACAUACGUCCUGGAU